CAGUAGCCGCGGGAAUACGAAGGGGGUUAGCGUUGCUCGGAAUUACUGGGCGUAAAGGGAGCGUAGGCGGACAUUUAAGUCAGGGGUGAAAUCCCGGGGCUCAACCUCGGAAUUGCCUUUGAUACUGGGUGUCUUGAGUAUGAGAGAGGUAUGUGGAACUCCGAGUGUAGAGGUGAAAUUCGUAGAUAUUCGGAAGAACACCAGUGGCGAAGGCGACAUACUGGCUCAUUACUGACGCUGAGGCUCGAAAGCGUGGGGAGCAAACAGGAUUAGAUACCCGUGUAGUCCCUGUCUCUUAUAC
rnacentral:rRNA from 1 species